rnacentral:siRNA from 1 species
GAAGCUCAAAGUGGGAUGAAGUG